UGGUCACGUAGCCGUGCAGAUAAAACGAGGCAGAGGUGAACAGGUGGCAGAACACCUCUUCAGGAUACUUCGAGAAGACAGUGACCUUCGUGAGAGAAAACUACCUCGCAAUGAAGCUCACCAUUAUGAUAUGCUUCGCGUGCAUUGUAAUGGCGGCAGGUCUCAACGUGAAAAGGACUCUAAAGAAAAUGGUCGGCCAGGACGAUUGCGCAGACGCAAAAGGAUGCAGCAAAACUUCAGGCGAAUUUUGUCAACCUGGAGGCGGAGGAUGCAGUAGUGGUUGCAUCUGCUCAGUUAGUGGCGGUUGUGGGAAAUGCGUGGUGAGUUCGGUUAAGUAGCUGGCAGGAAACACGGGCCAGAGAAGACCGUCGGUGACCUGACUUCCCGCCAACCGCCUUUUCUACUCUUCGCCGUCGAAAAAACAAAUAAAGUAACGUGAAGCAGC